AGUGAACGCUGGCGGUAGGCCUAACACAUGCAAGUCGAACGGCAGCACAGUAAGAGCUUGCUCUUACGGGUGGCGAGUGGCGGACGGGUGAGGAAUACAUCGGAAUCUACUUUUUCGUGGGGGAUAACGUAGGGAAACUUACGCUAAUACCGCAUACGACCUACGGGUGAAAGCAGGGGAUCUUCGGACCUUGCGCGAUUGAAUGAGCCGAUGUCGGAUUAGCUAGUUGGCGGGGUAAAGGCCCACCAAGGCGACGAUCCGUAGCUGGUCUGAGAGGAUGAUCAGCCACAUGGGAACUGAGACACGGUCAAGACUCCUACGGGAGGCAGCAGUGGGGAAUAUUGGACAAAGGGCGCGAGCCUGAUCCAGCCAUACCGCGUGGGUGAAGAAGGCGUUCGGGUUGUAAAGCCCUUUUGUUGGGAAAGAAAAGCAGCAGGUUAAUACCCCGCUGUUCUGACGGUACCCAAAGAAUAAGCACCGGCUAACUUCGUG
rnacentral:rRNA from 1 species